rnacentral:rRNA from 1 species
AACGAACGCUGGCGGCAUGCCUAACACAUGCAAGUCGAACGAGACCUUCGGGUCUAGUGGCGCACGGGUGCGUAACGCGUGGGAACCUGCCCUUAGGUUCGGAAUAACUCCCCGACAGGGGUGCUAAUACCGGAUAAUGUCUUCGGACCAAAAAUUUAUCGCCUUUGGAUGGGCCCGCGUUGGAUUAGCUAGUUGGUAGGGUAAAAGCCUACCAAGGCGACGAUCCAUAGCUGGUCAGAGAGGAUGAUCAGCCACACUGGGACUGAGACACGGCCCAGACUCCUACGGGAGGCAGCAGUGGGGAAUAUUGGACAAUGGGCGAAAGCCUGAUCCAGCAAUGCCGCGUGAGUGAUGAAGGCCUUAGGGUUGUAAAGCUCUUUUAACCGGGAUGAUAAUGACAGUACCGGGAGAAUAAGCUCCGGCUAACUCCGUG